AAUAUAUUUGAGUUAUUUAACUAUUCAUUAAUUGGUCCACAAGUCAAACUGACAGAUAGUUGAGAAUGUCAGUGUGAACUUCACCUGCAACAUCACUGAUAAUGUAGAAAGUUUAAACUUUUUCACUUUGCACUGCCCGCCAGAAUCAUAUCACCUAUGCAUAGUUACAUCGCUUACGUUACCACAAGUUGCUCUCUGUUGAUAAUGAAUGACUUCUGCCAUUUUAUCAUCUCACCUUUUCUCGCUGAUAUCAUAUCAAAUGAUAGUGGGACAUUGUCGGUCAGCAUUGAUAAUCAUUAACUGUAUGUCCUCUUCCUGACUAAAAUCUGUUUCUUUAUAGUUAAUGUACAUGCCAAGAAACGUGGUUAGUAGUAUUUGUAUGUGAUCAUUUAAAGCUUCUGUUUGAUCAUGUUUCAUGUCCAAAAUUGGAAGAACUUCAGUUUCUAAUGGAAUAAUCUUCUUUCUUAUGUCUGCAGAAUGUCUCAAGCAACACCUAGUUCCUAUCACCCUAAUCCCUGAAACAGCACAUUAUUCUCUAAAUGUCAAAGACAAACACUUACAAAAGAGAAGGAAGAACAGACAUUAAAAGGUCAUGCUGUCCUGGGAAAUCUGCAAAUAACAGGGACAUCUUACUUUGUUGUGGAUGUGGAACAAUCAUGGAUUGUACGAGUGGUCAAGAUGUCCAUCAACAAGGAGAAGAAAGUAAGGUUUUGACCUAAAGAUGGUGCCUGGACUCUGAGGUGUGUGGAGGGUAAAGUAAGAGUUUAUGAUGGGACUUGUGUUUCUCUCUUCCGCACUGACAAAGAGAAUGAGUUGAGGGUUGGGGUAGUUCAAAUCCCCGAGCUGACAAGGUACAAACCUGUCGUUCUGCCUGAACAGGCAGUUAACCCACUGUUCCUAGGCCGUCAUUGAAAAUAAGAAUUUGUUCUUAACUGACUUGCCUAGUUAAAUAAAGGUAAAAUAAAAUACAUUUGUAGAUUAUGAGAAGAAUAUAGUCUCCUUUACAACAUGACCAACAGCAAUAAUACUCAUAUCUACUCUUAUGUAGAAUGCAACUUCAGAGAUGAACCCCUUCAUCCAAUCUUUAGUGCAAGCUCAACCCUCAGGAUCAUUCAUCAUUAAGGUGCUAAUGUUCAGAGUGGAGAAUGUCAAGAGGUUCAGAGUGGAGAACGUCAAGAGGUUCAGAGUGGAGAAUGUCAAGGGGUUCAUAGACCAAGAAGUGACUCAAUAUGAUAGAUGAUAGCAAUGUUAUCAACCUAGUGUUUCCACCAAUCCAACCAGAUUAGAUCACUUUAAGAAAGAGAGAGGAAAGAAGAAUUCAAAGUAGUUCAAACAGGACCCAGGUGUGAAUCAAUCCCUGUCUGACUGGAAGGGACAGAUGGAAACCAGCAGUACCUAGAGGGACAUAUUUAAGUAUCCCUGGUCUAAUGCAUUGGCCAAUGAUAUGAUCAUUAUUGAUUGUAUUGGUGGUCACAGAGCUCUGCUGUGAAUCUCUGAAAUCUUAUUUCUGUUAGUAAUUGACAUUUGGUCAAUUGUUAGGGUGCUUUGCCUUUUGAAGUUGUUGUCCAGGCCCUUCAAUGUAUCCACUUCAUCUGUUCCUUUGUUAACUUUUUAUACCAGUUUUGUAAAGGACCGUUGUAAUGCAAGGGCACAUUUCUGCCAAAGCAGACUAUAAAGUAUCUUCAAAGCCCCUAACUAGACCAUCAUAUCUUUACAGUAAGCUAUGUGCUAAAAUGCAUGGGAAUGAUGUUAGAUGUGCUAAAUUUCCCUGUAAAAUAUGCCAAAUAUGUCUAUAUUAUAUCAUAAUAAAAUAUAAUUGUAUUCAUUGCA